CCUCUCAGGCUCAGUGUCACUUCAACAACCUGAGAUCCUGAUUUUGUGUGUUUUAAACGCAGAUGCUUACACCGACCACAGAAGAAGAAAGUGUGCUGACACUUCCACCUGGAACGUGGCUAAAUGUCUCCCAGGUGACACCGCACUCAGCCGCGUCGCGAAGUAGUCAUUGUUAAUGCCUUCACUUAUAGGGCCAGCUGAGAUCUGAAACCAUCAUUGGUAUCUCUGAGCAGAAGUGUUGAGGUCCAUCAAGAAUUCCAGAUGCUUGCAUCAGUUGAUUUCUCCCACUUCCCAACCCAGGGCUGAAAACUACAAGCCUUGGAGAGGAACCAGGUCUUUUUCAUUGCUCCUGCAUUUGUUGUCCAACCUGGGAUAUCUGGUUCAAAUUUAAGUUGCCUAACUUAUUGAGGUAAGUAAUCUCCUCUGCUAAUGGAACAUGUUACCAUCUUUGAAACAUGUUAGUAUUGCCAUUCCCAGAAACUUGACAACAGUUUAGCCUUUGGUGGUCACCCUCACCUAUAUUGGAACUAAGGGUUUGGGGAGAUGAUAUAAGGUGGUAUUUUGGACAGUUUGCAAUUAUUGUGAAAAUCUUGCCUGUUCUGCCAAUGAGGCUAGUGAUUCUGAUGUACAGUCAAAAAAAAGAGCCCUUGGAAACGAUUCCCUCUGUUAGGAGCUUACUUGCAAAUCAGUAUUUGUUUCAGAUAUCUUUGUUCAAUCUUGGUAUACCUGGUGAUUCACUCCCAGUCCCAAACAGGAGCCCUUUACCCUUGAGCAGAAAUCUGGAUUCAGCUACCACCUGGAGCCUGAUCAUGAAGUGCCAUUACUCAA